AAGCCUGUCUCUUUAGCUUUGCCUCAGAGAGAGAGAGGGAGAGAGGAGAGGGAGAGGGAGAGAGGAUUUCUAGUAGGGUUUUGGAUCCGGAUCGAAGCCGAUGUUCUCAAAUCAUUCUAAACUUUUGCCAAGGAAAUUUGAGAUCUCUCUUUUGUGAUGUUGGAUCCAGUUGCUGCUCUUCUUUGAAUUUUUCGGCGAUCGAAAGGAGCCUGCUGCUUCAGAGAGAAAUGAUCCAAAGUUGAAUUGCAAAAACAAAUCAGAAGUAAAAUCAACUCAGGGACCAAAAUAUCCAUCUCAAAGGAAAAUCAGCAAGGCAGAUAACGUUGUGUCUUCAAGUAAGACUGAUGCUGAUAGAGUCUCAAGCAACUAUAGAUCUACCUCUGUUGUUUCCUAUAGACCACUUACAGAAGUGUGUCCUAAUGUUAUUGUACCUUGCCCUUUUUCUUUGGUUACUGAAAAACAAGUUGCUGUCCUUUCUGGAGUUAGAGAAGGUACACAGAGAUUGGAUCCAAAAAGCUCAAACAAAUCAGGCACCAUCAUUAGUUCAUACAAAGGAUGUUGCAUAUGUUCAGGAGAAAUUUGUAGCAAGGUGCAUGCUCCUUGUCAGUACAAAGAGGUUCAUGGCGCCAGUACAAAGUGUGCUGCUCCUUGUCUGACUGGCAAUCUCAGUACAGAAAGUAAAAAAGGUCUACUUCUUUCGUGACAAAUUAAUUCUUUUCUAGUUGGAAGUAUUCAUUAUGGCACUACUGCCUGAGUGGGUUUGCUCAGUGGAGAUUAGAUGACUCAGGUGCAAGGCUGAUACGCAUUUCCUUCCCCUGCACACCAUUCUUCCACUGAUAUUCUGACGCAAUUGAGCACCCUGAUGUUGAUCGGCAGCUCUUGUCGCACCAUGCAAUAUAUAAAAUUAUGAUGAUGCUUGAAUGCCGAACCAUUCUAUGCAUAGCUAGAUAUUAUUACUUGAAGACAAAUGCUAUGGCAGUGGAACAAUCAUUACCAAACAUUUUCUCUGCACAGCUUGUUUACCACGUCGCUCAAGGGGAUCCCACAGCCCCUCUAAGAAUUGCAGGGAUCCCAUUAGUCACACAACUCCUUUAUUUGUUACUCUUGUUGAAGUCAAGGAAUUAGGAAGUUGUUCCUCCUGCAAUCUCAAGGUUUUUUCAAGAUAUCAAAAGACAUUAUGAGUGGAUUGUGAUACCCUGUGUAUGGUGACUGUUGGAAGCUCCAACUCUGAGUCAAAAGUCAUAUGGGUAUUAGUCUCCAAAUAUCUCUCCGCUUAUGGAAUAUCCCCAGACAUCAUAGCUGGACAUCUGAACUCCCCUAUAUUUCUACUGCAUUCUUUUCUAAAAUGUCAGGCUCAAAGGGGGGAAUUACUCUAAUGCUGAAUUCUGCAGAUGGUCCCCACUCCAGACAGGAAAUCUGUUGGUUAAUGGACCCAUGCCACCCUUUGGUGAUCUGCCACUUGAUGGGAGAAGGCCAAGGCAAAUAAUCUCUGACCAGUUUGCCUAAAGGCAUUUGAGUCUUUCCAAUUAAAUAAGCGGCAAGCGUAAGAGCGGAUCCAAGGGAAAUAUGUAACAUGCGAAUAGGUAGUCCUGUUUCAGCAUCGAUGGCGUUACACAUUUUGAUUAUGAAUGUUAUAUACUUAUUCAAGCAGUAGACAUUGAUGGCAAUUUAACCUUUGUUGUCUCACAUGUAUCUUGGUGGCGGCACAUUAUUAUUGUUGCAGAGAGAUCAUUUUCUAGUUCAACACUGUUACUAUAAUUCGAUUGUUGUAUGACCCAAAUCCAUAGUCAGGAAGAGAAUAUAAACAAAAAUUUCAGAGGAGGGUUAGAUGCUGAUCUGUUGGAGGGAUCUGACCAUCCAUCUGCUCUUGCAUUCUGUUCUAGAGAUGGGAAUUGAUUACUAGGGAAAGCGAAGGUGGUGAGAAGCGGAGUGAAUGGUCAGCGACUGCCCGCUGCUGCUGCUCUAAUUCUCAGUGAAUGCUGAAUUAACUGGCAACCUUGAUAGACAGCAAUGAAGUAACAGGAUUAACGCACGCAAGACUUCCCUGGAGGACCUCUUUUAUCCGUAGCAGUUUUUGUAAUUGAAUAAAACGGGCAGGAAAAAAUCCCACGGAUCAAAAAAUACAAGGGGAAGCAAGACAAAAAAAAAAGAAGAGGAAAAGAAGGAAAACAGAAGAAGAAAGCUUUGUCGUGGAUUUACACGGGAAGCUAGUGAGGCAGGCAACUGGUUCAACCCAAGAACAGGUGUUUAUUGCUCAACGUCCGUUGUCGAUGUAGAUUUUGUCUUCUCGAGGAUUCUGAGAUCCCUCUCCUUCCAAAUACACCAAAUGCAUGUCAUACUAGAGAUUUCUGGCCUUCCAAAUACACCAAAUCCAUGUCAGAUCUGGAGAAUCCCAAGCCGCAGGAAAGUAUCGUGCUAUGACAAUGACUUUCCAACCUGUCCAAAAGAGCUCUUGAUGUUCUAAAGUUCUGCGGAACACAUGGAGAUGUCUAUCCUCUUUUUAUGAAGAUUUUCUGCUGAGAGAAUCUGAAAUCCAGGUAAAAGUUAUAGUCUUGUAGGGAUAUGGUGAUUUAGAUUUGAUGCUGAAUAUUUGAUUCGUUUUCCAUUUUCCAUUUGCAUCCUAUCUUCAUCCAGAUUUAUGCUAGUGAGUAGGGGACGCUGUUGGCUUAUAGUUCUUUUUUGCAAGUAAAUGAAAAUUUUGGACAUUUCAAAUUAUAAAGUUGGAUUUGGAAAUCCAACCUACACAUCAAACCAUUUUGGUAUUUAGGUCGUACAUCAAUGGUUCACCCGCAGAUCUAUCAUGGUUCAAUCUUCCAAUGACAUCAUAAAUAACUAAAUAAAAUAAAUAAAUAUUUUAAAAUAAUAGAAAUUGAUAUCUAAAAGUAAAUAAUGAGGACUACGAUGAUGAUGACGAUUUUAUUACAGCGUAAUAUCCAAAGAUAAUAAAAUAUCGUAACUUAUUUUUGUCAAAAAAAUAGUUACAUUAAUGUCUCCUACCAAAUAUACCUUAUAAGUAAGUAAGGAUGUCAAUAAAUUGGAACUUGAAUGGCAAGUUUCUAAUACGGUCUGGAUCAAACCCUAAUUCGAAAGAAUAGAGCAAUAAUAUUGUUUCUGUUUUAAUUUUUCAGCACCUCUUUAAAGUGGUUCAUCCAAACAAGUAAAAACAGAGUUCAAAGUCGAGCAUUUGGGUUGUCAAUGGAUCACACAAGUUUCUGAAAUUUUCAUGUUCAAGACUGACCCAACACUUAACAGAUCAUGAGUUGAGCCUAGAAUUCCCAGUUCUAAAGGAUCUAUGAAACCAUUGGCUGAUUAUUCCUAGUUUUAACCGAACUGUAGGGAAUCAGUGGUCCAUCCCUCAAAAAGGCUCAUAUGUUAACCUGGUUGAGAGUGAAUUAUGGUCAAAUGUGUAAAGUAGUAAAUAUUUUCUAAGCACCUUUAAAAUGGUCGACCCAAACAAGUCAAAAGCUAGUCAAACUAUGCUGGAUUGGACAAUUAGGUUGCUUGAGUCAAUCCGAUCCAUAUAUGCUUUCCUAUUAUACGUUGAGUCUGGGAUUCUUGGUUCUAAGGGACCUAUGGAAUCAUUACUUGAUUAUAAGGGUUUUAACUCAUUGAUGUCCAAGCCUCAAAAAGGCUCAUUUAACAAUUAUCCCAAAGAUAAUUGCCUUACCUUGAUCCUCUAUCCCAUUUUCGAAAAAUGCCUUGAGCUCUUCUGCAUGACCUAUUAACAAUUUUCAUCCAAACACAUACUAUCACCUCCACAAACUUUUUGACAUAUAUCAUUGGUAACUCUCAAAUUAAAUGCAUAUGCAAUUUUUCUUUUCUUUUUUUUUGAUAAUUGAACAUGCAAGACUCAAUUCUUUUAUCUAUCAUUUUGUCAGUACAUGAGAAAUGCAUGUGUUCAACUGAUUUGUACUUCAAAUAGUGCCAAAAUAAGGUGAAGUUGUUGCUUGAUAAUGAUCCUAAAGCUUGCUUGACAAAGCACUUCAAUGUAUGGUGGGUUUAAAGUGGGAAUGUAAAUUAAUCUCACACUUGCAA